AUGGCGAGCCAGCCCCACCUGGCGCGCCCUGAUACGCCGGACACGUAUCAAGUGCCUGCCAAUGCCCACUGGCUUCACGAAGCACAUGCCACCAUCCAACUGGAGGUCGUGAUGAUGAUGAACAUCGGCCUGCUUAUAAAAUCACAUUAUGAUCCAUUAACGAUAGGUUCACCAUUGAUAAAGGGUGCCCCACUCCGUCGUAGAUCAUGGCCUGAAGAUCAGUUAUACGUGGCGGAGGUUUGUACUCGUGCAAAGCCCCCUGCUGCGCCCCCACCUCCAUCCACACGUCCACCAUCGCCGCCUCCUCGGCUCCGCCGUUCUCUCCCAGCGACCGGAGGAGAGGAGCAGCCGGUGCGGCCAUCCAUUGAAGACGGGGCGAGGGAUGGGAUCGAGACCGCAUCAAUUCCAGUCCGAUUUAUACACUCGCCCAAUCCUGAUCGAGCCUUCCCAGCAACCGGAGAGGAGCAACCGUUUCCAUCCAUUGAAGACGGGGUGAGGGAUGGAAUCGAGUCCAUCCAGUCGAUCCCAGCGACCGAGGAGCGGAAUCCGGGUCGAGGCAAUCCAAUCCAGCGCGUGCCAGAUUCAGGAGGCCUCGCCUGCUUGAAACCGCUCUUCUCUCCUUCAAGCUAG
rnacentral:rRNA from 1 species